rnacentral:rRNA from 1 species
GAUGAACGCUGGCGGCGUGCCUAAUACAUGCAAGUCGAGCGAACAGACGAUGAUCUUGCUCCGCGGACGUGAGCGGCGGACGUGUGAGUAACGCGUGGAUAACCUCCCUAUAAUACUGGUAUAACUUCGGGAAACCGGCGCUAAUCCCGUAGAAGCUAUUGAACCGCAUUGUGCAAUGGUGAAAGUCGGCUUUUCGGUCAGUUAUAGAUGGUUCCCCGCGGCUUGAGCUAGUUGGGAAGGUAACGGCUUUCCACGGAAACGAGGCGUAGCCGAACUGCGAGAGUGAUAGGCCACAUGGGAACGGAGCCACGGUCCAGACUCCUAAGGGAGGCAGCAGUAGGGAAUCUUAGGCAAUGGGCGAAAGCUUGACGGAGCAACGCCGCGUGAGUGAUGACGGUGUUCGGAUCGUAAAACUCUGUUAUUAGGGAAAAACAAAUGUGUAAGUAACUAUGCACGUCUUGACGGUAACUAAUAAGAAAGCAACGGCUAACUACGUG